CAGCAUGCUAUUAUAAGGACCUGGGGCUUGUUUGUAGUCCAAGGUGCUCCAAUAGCAUGCAAGAAUACAGGAUGGUCUUUGACUGUGCUGGCCAUCUUUGCCAUUAACAGCCACUCUACUGUCCAACAGAU